GACGAACGCUGGCGGCGUGCUUAACACAUGCAAGUCGAACGGAGCGAAUGAAAGCUUGCUUUUAUGAGCUUAGUGGCAAACGGGUGAGUAACACGUAGGCAACCUGCCGACAGGAUGGGGACAACAUUCCGAAAGGAAUGCUAAUACCGAAUGAAGCGGAGGAGAGGCAUCUCCCCUCCGUGAAAGAUGGCCUCUUUUUAUGCUAUCACCUGUCGAUGGGCCUGCGUCUGAUUAGCUGGUAGGUGAGGUAACGGCUCACCUAGGCGACGAUCAGUAGCCGGUCUGAGAGGAUGAACGGCCACAUUGGGACUGAGACACGGCCCAGACUCCUACGGGAGGCAGCAGUGGGGAAUCUUCCGCAAUGGGCGCAAGCCUGACGGAGCAACGCCGCGUGAGUGAAGAAGGUCUUCGGAUCGUAAAGCUCUGUUGAUGGGGACGAACGUGCCUAAUGCGAAUAGUUUUAGGCAAUGACGGUACCCAUC
rnacentral:rRNA from 1 species